rnacentral:rRNA from 1 species
CCUACGGGUGGCAGCAGUGAGGAAUAUUGGUCAAUGGGCGGAAGCCUGAACCAGCCAAGUCGCGUGAGGGAAUAAGGCCCUACGGGUCGUAAACCUCUUUUGCCGGGGAGCAAGGGCGGCGACGCGUCCCGGCCCGGAGAGUCCCCGGAGAAAAAGCACCGGCCAACUCCGUGCCAGCAGCCGCGGUAAUACGGAGGUUGCGAGCGUUACCCGGAUUUAUUGGGUUUAAAGGGGGCGUAGGCGGGCUUUUAAGUCAGCGGUAAAAAUUCGGGGCGAAACCCCGUCCGGCCGUUGAAACUGUGGGCCUUGAGUGGGCGAGAAGAAGGCGGAAUGCGUGGUGUAGCGGUGAAAUGCAUAGAUAUCACGCAGAACCCCGAUUGCGAAGGCAGCCUUCCGGCGCCCUACUGACGCUGAGGCACGAAAGUGCGGGGAUCGAACAGGAUUAGAUACCCUUGUAGUC